rnacentral:rRNA from 1 species
UACAGAGGGUGCGAGCGUUAAUCGGAAUUACUGGGCGUAAAGCGUGCGUAGACGGCUAUCUAAGUCGGGUGUGAAAGCCCCGGGCUCAACCUGGGAAUUGCAUUCGAGACUGAAUAGCUAGGGUACGGUAGAGGGAAGUGGAAUUUCCGGUGUAGCGGUGAAAUGCGUAGAUAUCGGAAGGAACAUCAGUGGCGAAAGCGACUUCCUGGACCAGUACCGACGUUCAGGCACGAAAGCCGUGGGGAGCAAGCAGGA